rnacentral:lncRNA from 1 species
AGCGGACCAACCUCGCCGGCCCGCGCGGCUGCGGGAGGGAGGGGGAGGACACUGUCGCGAGUCGCAGAGUCGGGAGAGGUCGCGCUUCCCCGGGAAGCUGCCCUCAGACAGCUGGGGGCCAGGGAGCGCCCGAAGUUGGUUUGAGGGCUUUCCCUCUCCCGUCUGCGAACUUUUCAAGGGAGAAACUGGAUUUGUGAGUUCAUCCUGCAGUGAUUGAUGGCUUAUGUGUUUUAAGCCAGGAGGCAACCAUGCCGUAGAAUGAGAAUAAAAAAAUGGAACCUUUACAGAAGAACUCCAAGGUUUAGGAUUCACUUGUCUUUGGUUCAAGGACAGAAGAACCAGACAAUUGCUACAGCACCAGAUCAUUGCUUGAGAUUCCCUGAAACUUCUCACAGGGUUACAAGGAAAUUGAGGGUACCGAUUAUCCUGUACUUCUAGCCCAGGGAAGAGUGAGGACUGCAACCAAAGCCUUAUCAGAGAAUACGUACUUCACAGACCACCUCACAGAUGAACUAGAUACAAGUUUACUACUUGUGCCUGUCUCAUCUUACCUACCUCACUUCCUUUCUGGAUAGAAAUGAAAAUUGGGAACCAACAGAGUAAGUAAAUACUAGAAAAUGAGAGAAAUGUUCUAAUAUUUAUUAGUAUGUUAUUCUUUAAAAGUUA